rnacentral:tRNA from 1 species
GGUCUGGUGGUGUAGUUGGUUAUCACGUCAGUCUAACAGUCACGGGCCACGCUCGUCUCUGCGCACACUGAAGGUCUCCGGUUCAAGUCCGGGCUAGAUCA